rnacentral:rRNA from 1 species
UACUCGAGUGGCGAACGGGUGAGUAACACGUGGGUGAUCUGCCCUGCACUUCGGGAUAAGCCUGGGAAACUGGGUCUAAUACCGGAUAGGAGCCAUUUUUAGUGUGAUGGUUGGAAAGUUCUUUCGGUGUAGGAUGAGCUCGCGGCCUAUCAGCUUGUUGGUGGGGUAAUGGCCUACCAAGGCGGCGACGGGUAGCCGGCCUGAGAGGGUGGACGGCCACAUUGGGACUGAGAUACGGCCCAG